CCCAGAUUAGGUAGUAACAACCAUUUGAGUCUGGGAUUUCUGAAUGGGGAAACCCACUUACAUAAGUAAGUAUCCUUACCUGAAUACAUAGGGUAAGGAGGCGAACCGGGGGAACUGAAACAUCUAAGUACCCCGAGGAAAAGAAAUCAACCGAGAUUCCGAAAGUAGCGGCGAGCGAAAUUGGACUAGCCCUUAAGCUUUACACGCGUUAGACGAACGGUCUGGAAAGUCCGACGAUACAGGGUGAUAGUCCCGUAGUUGACGACGUGUGUUCAGUGAAAUCGAGUAGGGCGGGACACGUGAUAUCCUGUCUGAAUAUGGGGGGACCAUCCUCCAAGGCUAAAUACUACUGACUGACCGAUAGUGAACCAGUACCGUGAGGGAAAGGCGAAAAGAACCCCUGUGAGGGGAG
rnacentral:rRNA from 1 species